GACGAACGCUGGCGGCGUGCCUAAUACAUGCAAGUCGAACGCAGUUGCGCACGGGUGAGUAACGCGUAUGUAACUUCCUCAUUGCGGGGGAUAACUAUUUGAAACGAUAGCUAAUACCCCCUACUGUGAGAUGGACCUGCUUUGGAUUAGCUAGUUGGGGAGGUAAAGGCUCACCAAGGCGCCGAUACAUAGCCUACCUGAGAGGGUGAUCGGCCAAAAUUGGACUGAGGAACGGGCCAGACUCCUACGGGAGGCAGCAGGAGGGAAUCUUCGGAAAUGGAGGGAAGGCUGACCGAGCAAAGCCGCGUGAGAGAAGAAGGUUUUCGGAUCGGAAAGCUAUGUUGUUAGAGAAGCGGUAACUAACCAGAAAGGGACGGCUAACUACGUGCCAGCAGCCGCGGUAAUUC
rnacentral:rRNA from 1 species